AGCGCGCGUCUUCACAAGACCACCUUGACAUGGUGGGGGUCGUUGGUUCGAGCCCAAUUGUGCCUACCA
rnacentral:tRNA from 1 species